AUUGAACGCUGGCGGCAUGCUUUACACAUGCAAGUCGAACGGUAACAGGCCGUAAGGUGCUGACGAGUGGCGAACGGGUGAGUAAUGCAUCGGAACGUGCCCAGUCGUGGGGGAUAACUGCUCGAAAGAGCAGCUAAUACCGCAUACGAGCUAUGGAUGAAAGCGGGGGACCGUAAGGCCUCGCGCGAUUGGAGCGUCCGAUGUCAGAUUAGGUAGGUGGUGGGGUAAAGGCUCACCAAGCCAACGAUCUGUAGCUGGUCUGAGAGGACGACCAGCAACACUGGGACUGGGCCACGGCCCAGACUCCUACGGGAGGCAGCAGUGGGGCAUUUUGGACAAUGGGGGCAACCCUGAUCCAGCAAUGCUGCGUGCAGGAAGAAGGCCUUCGGGUUGUAAACUGCUUUGGUACGGAACGAAACGGUCUGGGUUAAUACCCAGGGCUAAUGACGGUACCGUAAGAAUAAGCACCGGCUAACUACGUGCCAGCCGCCGCGGUAAAAC
rnacentral:rRNA from 1 species